AGAAGAUUUCCACUCAGACUCCAGCCCUAUUGUUACAUUCAUGCCUCGCUGAUCACCAUGGUACAGCGACCUAGCGUGCACGGGCUUUAUCUUAAGCUGUUGUUUCGGUUCUGGGCUAGGCCUUCAUUACUGUCGUUGUGCUCCUCACGCUCACUGCAUGCAACUCAUUACACUGUUCAAAAUUAUCAUUUUGGCUCGUAUAAAAUUAUUGUUUAUUUUUAUUGAACGUGCACAUUGUGUCCAAUUUAUAUUGUAUUAACAAAGACAUCGUUACCCUUACUCCAAGAUCAACACCAAGAGGGGCAAUGUCUUCAAGAGUAGAAAGAGGCCCAGUGUUUUUGUAACCCUGUUCACUUAGGAAAGAGUUGCAGCUUUCAUCAAAGAAACUGAUGAUCUAAAAGUUGAGACUGCAUGGAUGAGCUAGGCUGCUUUGUCUGGACGAAAAUGAACCCUCCAAGGCUCCAACAGCCUCAUCACACAGAAACUCAGGAACCGGAAGCAGGAAGGAGGACCGACAGAUGAACAGAUGACCUACUUGCUGGGCUUCCAAUUACUGAUUCUGGAAGUUAGUUUACAUGUAGGCUUCCUCUUAGUCACAGAGCUCAAAAUUGGUGAUUGGCACUUUUCUGUGUUCUUCCACAACGAGUGCUGGUAUAGCGUUGUGUUGUUUUGUGGGGUAAAAAGUAAUUUUGAAUUCAUUAAAUUAUUUAUGCCUCUAAAAUAAUCUUAAACCGGAUACUGCAAAAGACAGUUAACAAUGGACAGUAAUGGAAACUUGCUGAAAAAUUAUUGUAAGGGUAAUGAUUUGUCACUGGCUUUUUAGCAGUGACAUGUCUGGGAGAAUGGAUGUUCCUUUGAUCUGUCCUGGGUCAUCCAAAAUUAUUGCAUCAGUGAGUUAAUAAUUUCAUACUCCUUACCUUUCAUGCAUUCAAUUGGAUCUUCUCGGUAAAUUAUAAACGAGGUCUCGCCUAAGGCUUUCUAUUUGCUUUUUGUUCAGUUGACAAUGGAGAAUUUUGCUCUAUAAAUUUAAUUUGAUAUUGAAAGUGCAUUUUUAAGAAAACCAAUUUAAGUCAUAAGAGUUUUGAAAGAUUUCAAAAAGGAUUAAUUUAUUGUUUAAAAACUGAAGAAAUGUAACAAACUUUAUUAAAAUUUAACGUCUUUAACAAGACGUCGGUUUAACUAAAACUUGACUUUCUUUCCAUUGUAUAUUUAUUAGAAAACACAAGAACGUUUAAUUUUUAGGAACAUUUAAAGAAUAAACUGUUCAGGAACUUCUAUCCAUCAAAAUGCAUUGCAACAGGUAUGAGUGACACUCAAAUUACAUUUGUGUUUGUCCUUUUGUGAUUUAUUUCAUUGCA